AUUAAAGUGCCAAUCAAAAAGAGUAAUGGAACAGGGAAUAGAAAGCUGGCUUCUUCAGCCUCUUACUGCUCUCAGUCUGAGCAACUUUCACAAGCCAAAGGAAACAUUUCUCUUCUGAAUAGGAGCCAGACUUCCAGAAAUACCUCCUCUCCCCUUGUCUCUGUGAGAGCAAGUGCUGAGACUCUUCUGUGUGUCUUGCUUAGGGUGGAAACCCGUUGCUUACUACAGUGCAGGUAGUGGGAAGAAGUGUUGCUGACUGUAACCCAGAAAGGAUGGAGAUGCUUAUUCUGUGGAAUAAGCACUGGGCUGUGCGUGCAGGGCUCAUUGAUUGGUUAGUGACAUGGUUUCAAUUGCAGAUUGCUCACAUUUCAGCAUUCGUGGGUGAACAAUGGAAGGAAACCGGUGGGUCCAGAAGUCUUGCUGGUGUGUGCAAGUUGCCUGUAACCUGGAGUGUGUACACCUAGAAAGCUGCUUUUUUGCACCAAGGUACCAGAGGUGAAAACACUGUGAUUAACAGAUAGAGCAAUGUUCUUCAAGGAAGAGAAGCACAGUACGUGAGGUUAUUCAUGAAGGAGUCAUCAUCUAGUGGUUUGGGUUGUAGGAAACAGCUUCUGAAAUAUCAAGACAAUCUGCUUUUAUUGCUGUAAGUCAUACCUCCUCCUUAAAUGAAACCAAGCUAAAGGCCACAGGAACGGUCUUUUGGUUAAGGCAAAAGCUAUGUGCUCCACUCAGUGCCAGACUGUUCCACCAACGAUGGACACAUACUUGCCCCUAGCUGUAACUUACAAGGUGCUAGCCAAUCUUUUGGCUUUGUGGGGACUAUCACGCUGAAUUUGAUACUCCAUGUGUGACAUUUCUGAUGAGACCACCAACAUUGCCAUAUUUUAGAAGUCCAGCAACACCUUCUGAAACAUCACUCAGUAGACCCAUCGGGUUGCCAAGGAAAUCCACAGAACCUAGAAUCCUUGCUGCCUGACUGAUCAGCUCCUGUAAAAUCAAUAGAAAGGUUGAAAUACCACCUCCGGAUCACGUUAACACCAGCAAGAUUGAUUAAAAAUGAAGAGAUACUAUAAAACAAUACAUGAGCACCAGUACAAUCAACAGUUUCAUCUUAAAGUGCAGUGAAUUUUAGAAAUGUGUGAUGCUAUCUCGCUAUAAUAAAAAAAAAAAAAAAAGAGGGGGGGGGGUAUACAGUAAAUACCUGAUCAUCAAGGAAGAAUUUCAUCCCCAUCCUCACUACAGAACUCAAUCAAGAGAAAUUUAGCCUUUCCUCUAAUAAAAUCUGUAUGACACUUA